AUGGAACUACCACAGAGCAGUGUGACUUCUGGAUUAAAUCAACAUGAAAGAAAGUCUCCUUUACAUGAAAGACUAUCUGCUAAAGGAGCUGCUUCUAAGCUGAGUGCUCACCCUUGCUCUCUUCCUGAGCUGUGCUGCAGCUUUACCUGGGUCUUUCCACCUGCCUAGCUGACCUGGAUACUGAUCCUGGCUUAGAGACUGGAAUUACUGGCUUGAUCUUGGGCAUGUCUUAUCACUGUGGACACAUCUGGUAUGACUAGACUGCUGGCUGACCCAUCACAAAGCUUCACUGCUAUCCUUGCUCAUAUGAGGUGGGACUGCAUUCUUGACAUCCUGUCCUUGCCUGCCUUUUAGUGAUGCUGACUUUUUGGAUCUCCUUUCCUUAUGGAACAGCUCCUCCUGCUGCUCAUUGACAUGGCCACUGUAAUCUAUGCUUCAACCAUAAUUCUCCCUGUGGGUUUACAGGAUGUUGUACAGCUUUUGGAAUAGAUGACUACAAGGCUCCUACAGUACCCUUUCUAUAAACUGUGUAUGGGGAUAUAUAUGUGUUUUGUUAGUUGACUCCAUGAGGAUGGGGUGUUCAGGUUCAGCUAGCACCCCUCUGAUCUCUAAUGUUGAUUUUGACUGAUGGGUAGACAUUCUGGAAGAUAGCCUGAGAGACCUUUGUCUCCAUCUGCACCUCAGACUCAGACUGGGUGCCUGACAAUCAGCAUCAAGGGAAUAAGGCUGCAAAAUGCAGUGGAGAACCUUCUUCUCAGAUGCUGGCAACCAGAAUGUGAUAUGAUGACAGUGACAGGUAUGAAACCAUUACAUAGAACCUUCAAAUGACCCUUUUCAGGUCAAAAUGUCUGCACCAAAGUGCAGAGCGCAAUAUGAUACCAGGAGCUGGAUGGUCAUUUUCCACAGGGUGAAGGAGCAAUCUACCCAUCAGCAGCUUCCUUUGACUCUUCCUGGAGAAAAAGAUUGAUCCAGUACUUCCUAGAUAAUUCCUGAGCAUGAGCAUAAUUGUGAAUACAGCAUCAGAAUCAAAUUCUGCAGCUGGAAUAGCAGCAGUGUCACUCAGAUUGUCAGCCCAUUGCCAGAGAGGCUAGGCUUGGCCUGGCUUUUGAGGUCUGCAGUGAGUAGAGGCAUAGGAGUCACCCUGGGUCUCUUAGCUGUGGAAAAAAGG
rnacentral:lncRNA from 1 species